UCAAUAAAUCAGUUAUGGUUCCUUAGAUCGUACUAUCCUACUUGGAUAACUGUGGUAAUUCUAGAGCUAAUACAUGCACAAUAGCCCCGACCUUACGGAAGGGGUGCUUUUAUUAGAUCAAGACCAAUCGGACUUCGGUCCGUUUCUUGGUGACUCUGAAUAACUUUGUGCCGAUCGCAUGGUCUAGCACCGGCGACGCAUCUUUCAAAUGUCUGCCUUAUCAACUGUCGAUGGUAGGUUAUGCGCCUACCAUNGUUGCAACGGGUAACGGGGAAUCGGGGUUCGAUUCCGGAGAGGGAGCCUGAGAAACGGCUACCACAUCCAAGGAAGGCAGCAGGCGCGCAAAUUACCCACUCCCGGCACGGGGAGGUAGUGACGAAAAAUAACGAUGCAGGACUCAUCCGAGGCCCUGUGAUUGGAAUGAGUACACUUUAAAUCCUUUAACGAGGACCUAUUGGAGGGCAAGUCUGGUGCCAGCAGCCGCGGUAACUCCAGCUCCAAUAGCGUAUAUUAAAGUUGCUGCGGUUAAAAAGCUCGUAGUUGGAUAUCGGUCGCGAUCAGGUGGUGCCGCCUCGCGGUGUGCACUGCCUCGAUUGGACAAUCCACCGGACUGUCCGGGGUGCUCUUAACCGAGUGUCCUGGGUGGCCGGUACGUUUACUUUGAACAAAUUAGAGUGCUUAAAGCAGGUGCUCCGCGCCUGAAUAUCACAGCAUGGAAUGAUGGAAUAGGACCUCGGUCUUAUUUUGUUGGUUUUCUGGACUUGAGGUAAUGGUUAAUAGAGACAGACGGGGGCAUUCGUACUGCGACGCUAGAGGUGAAAUUCUUGGACCGUCGCAAGACGAACAACUGCGAAAGCAUUUGCCAAGAAUGUUUUCAUUAAUCAAGAACGAAAGUUAGAGGUUCGAAGGCGAUCAGAUACCGCCCUAGUUCUAACCAUAAACGAUGCCAACCAGCGAUCCGCAGACGUUACUUCAAUGACUCUGCGGGCAGCUUCCGGGAAACCAAAGUUUUUGGGUUCCGGGGGAAGUAUGGUUGCAAAGCUGAAACUUAAAGGAAUUGACGGAAGGGCACCACCAGGAGUGGAGCCUGCGGCUUAAUUUGACUCAACACGGGAAACCUCACCAGGCCCGGACACUGGAAGGAUUGACAGAUUGAGAGCUCUUUCUUGAUUCGGUGGGUGGUGGUGCAUGGCCGUUCUUAGUUGGUGGAGCGAUUUGUCUGGUUAAUUCCGAUAACGAACGAGACUCUAGCCUGCUAAAUAGAUGACGUAUCUUCGGGUACGUUACUCUUCUUAGAGGGACAAGUGGCGUCUAGCCAUAUGAAAGUGAGCAAUAACAGGUCUGUGAUGCCCUUAGAUGUCCUGGGCCGCACGCGCGCUACACUGAAAGAAUCAGCGCGU
rnacentral:rRNA from 1 species